UGGGGAAUAUUGCGCAAUGGGCGGAAGCCUGACGCAGCGACGCCGCGUGGGGGAUGACGGCCUUCGGGUUGUAAACCUCUUUCGCCAUCGACGAAGCCUUUGGGUGACGGUAGGUGGAGAAGAAGCACCGGCCAACUACGUGCCAGCAGCCGCGGUAAUACGUAGGGUGCGAGCGUUGUCCGGAAUUAUUGGGCGUAAAGAGCUCGUAGGCGGUGUGUCACGUCGGUCGUGAAAACUUGGGGCUUAACUCUGAGCGUGCGGUCGAUACGGGCAUCACUGGAGUUCGGCAGGGGAGACUGGAAUUCCUGGUGUAGCGGUGAAAUGCGCAGAUAUCAGGAGGAACACCGGUGGCGAAGGCGGGUCUUCUUGGGCCGAUACUGACGCUGAGGAGCGAAAGCGUGGGGAGCGAACA
rnacentral:rRNA from 1 species